AGUGAACGCUGGCGGUAGGCCUAACACAUGCAAGUCGAACGGCAGCACAGUAAGAGCUUGCUCUUACGGGUGGCGAGUGGCGGACGGGUGAGGAAUACAUCGGAAUCUACUUUUUCGUGGGGGAUAACGUAGGGAAACUUACGCUAAUACCGCAUACGACCUACGGGUGAAAGCAGGGGAUCUUCGGACCUUGCGCGAUUGAAUGAGCCGAUGUCGGAUUAGCUAGUUGGCGGGGUAAAGGCCCACCAAGGCGACGAUCCGUAGCUGGUCUGAGAGGAUGAUCGGCCACACUGGAACUGAGACACGGUCCAGACUCCUACGGGAGGCAGCAGUGGGGAAUAUUGGACAAUGGGGGCAAGCCUGAUCCAGCCAUACCGCGUGGGUGGAGAAGGCGUUCGGGUUGUAAAGCCCUUUUGUUGGGAAAGAAAAGCAGCAGGUUAAUACCCCGCUGUUCUGACGGUACCCAAAGAAUAAGCACCGGCUAACUUCGUG
rnacentral:rRNA from 1 species